rnacentral:misc_RNA from 1 species
GAUGAAGAACGUAGCGAAAUGCGAUAACUAAUGUGAAUUGCAGAAUUCCGUGAAUCAUCGAGUCUUUGAACGCACAUUGCGCCCCCUGGUAUUCCGGGGGGCAUGCCUGUCCGAGCGUCAUUGCUGCCCAUCAAGCACGGCUUGUGUGUUGGGUCCUCGUCCCCCCCCGGGGGACGUGCCCGAAAGGCAGCGGCGGCACCGCGUCCGGUCCUCGAGCGUAUGGGGCUUUGUCACCCGCUCUGCAGGCCCGGCCGGCGCUGGCCGACGCGAAAGCAACCAUUUUUUCUCCAGGUUGACCUCGGAUCAGGUAGGGAUACCCGCUGAACUUAAGCAUAUCAAUAAGCGGAGGA